UGGGGAAUAUUGGACAAUGGGGGCAACCCUGAUCCAGCAAUGCCGCGUGUGUGAAGAAGGUUUUCGGAUUGUAAAGCACUUUCGACGGGGACGAUGAUGACGGUACCCGUAGAAGAAGCCCCGGCUAACUUCGUGCCAGCAGCCGCGGUAAUACGAAGGGGGCUAGCGUUGCUCGGAAUGACUGGGCGUAAAGGGCGUGUAGGCGGUUUGUACGGUCAGAUGUGAAAUCCCCGGGCUUAACCUGGGAGCUGCAUUUGAUACGUGCAGACUAGAGUGUGAGAGAGGGUUGUGGAAUUCCCAGUGUAGAGGUGAAAUUCGUAGAUAUUGGGAAGAACACCGGUGGCGAAGGCGGCAACCUGGCUCAUAACUGACGCUGAGGCGCGAAAGCGUGGGGAG
rnacentral:rRNA from 1 species